rnacentral:rRNA from 2 species
UACAGAGGUGGCAAGCGUUGUUCGGAAUUACUGGGCGUAAAGGGCGCGUAGGCGGUCUCGUAAGUCCCGCGUGAAAUCCCCCGGCUCAACUGGGGAAUGGCGCGGGAAACUGUGAGGCUUGAGUUCGGGAGAGGGAAGCGGAAUUCCGGGUGUAGCGGUGAAAUGCGUAGAUAUCCGGAGGAACACCGGUGGCGAAGGCGGCUUCCUGGACCGACACUGACGCUGAGGCGCGAAAGCUAGGGGAGCAAACGGG